rnacentral:lncRNA from 10 species
CGAGGCGCUGCAGCCGCGCACCCUCCCAGCAAUUACUGUUAUAUCAAGACUAAGCUUUGCUGCCUGUUCCCUGACUGCUCCUCAUCAAAGACAGAGUCUGAGAUACCAGUGCUGGCCCCUCCGUCCCACUCAAGACCCCUCCGACGGGCAGCUUUAUCAGGGACACCCAUCAGCUUGGCCGAAAGCUUCUGGGAGGGGGACUGCAGUCUGAGACUCUUCCUACCCAAGCCCCUUCCUUCCCUGUCUCUUUUGCAGGCCUCAGACCUGCCUCAGGAUCUGAAGCUCUUCUGCCUGCACCUGCUCCCUCCCCUCUAUCCUGCAUGGGCUUACUCCCAAUCACCACUCGCCCCUCCUCUAAUGCCACAGAGACAUGGACUGACAUGGAUCCCCGGGGAGCAUGUUUUUCUCUCCAGCUGGCCAUAUUCCUUGGGCGUCGAGUGACUCUGGCCUGUGAGCGCCCAGUGGUGUCGGGACAGCAGCUGCUCUACUGGCAGCCUGCAGUGGGGAGGCACAGAAGCCAGGCCCAUACAGGGAAGGCCUGGAGUGCAGGCUCCUUCCUGAAACUGAUCACCACUCCUUGCUGCCUCCCUCCCCAGAGCCCACAGAGGAGCCACUUCCCUACCUUGUGCUGCAUCAUGCUGUAGCAUCUGAGAGGAGGCUCUCUGGACAGCUCUCUGUUGUCUCCAGGGCCGUCCCACCCAGGAGGACCUCGCAGCUCCCUAACAGUCCCCGUGAUGGCUUCCUGUGGUCCAGGCCAUCCCAAGACGGGCAGGAGAGCAGGACUAAACUGUGUCUCUCCUGCCCGUCCCCCUUGCCCUGGCUGCAGCCUCCACCCACUUCACAGACCUCAUCUAUUUUUCCAGUGGGAAAAGGCCCAGUAACAGAACAUGCGGGGCCCAGUGCAAAAUGAAAUAAAGCCGCCUUGUUCAAAAGCCUGGCAAAGUGCAGUUAAAGGUGCUAAAUAUACAAACCUCUUCCUCCAUUCCCCAGGCUCUCUUGAUUAGCCAUGGUGUUUUCUUGCUAUUUAAUGCCAUUCUAAGUAAAGAAAAUUAA